CUACGGAGGGUGCAAGCGUUAUUCGGAAUCACUGGGCGUAAAGGACGCGUAGGCGGGUUGGCAAGUCAGAUGUGAAAUCCUACAGCUUAACUGUAGAACUGCAUUUGAAACUGCUAACCUAGAGUAUGGGAGGGGGAGAUGGAAUUAGUGGUGUAGGGGUAAAAUCCGUAGAUAUCACUAGGAAUACCGAAAGCGAAGGCGAUCUCCUGGAACAUAACUGACGCUAAGGCGCGAAAGCGUGGGGAGCAAACAGGAUUAGAUACCCCAGUAGUCC
rnacentral:rRNA from 1 species